CUCUCCACUUUGCAGAUUUGCCCCAUCUUAACAAUUUGAACCUUGACAACAACCUCCUCUCGGGCGGAAUCCCAUCAAGCAUUGGUGCUCUUGCCAAGCUCGAAUACUUGGAUCUGUCUAGCAAUAAUCUGAAUGGAUCUAUCCCAACAUCCCUACGUAAUUUUACUAAACUAACCUCCAUCGAUCUCUUUUAGUGAAACUUGUUUCUACCAUGCCUAGUAAAGUAGGAGGACUAGGGAAUUUUAUGAGCCUCUCCACUUUGCAGAUUUGCCCCAUCUUGUCUAUUUGAACCUUGGUAACAACCACCUCUCAGGCGGAAUCCCAUCAAGCAUUGGUGCUCUUGCCAAGCUCGAAAACUUGGAUCUAUUCUUCAAUAUUCUUAAUGGAUCGAUUGGAAGCAUAGGAAAUCUAACGAAUUUAUAUUACCUAGAUCUUUCCAACAACCAGAUCACGGGUUCCAUUGGAAGCAUAGGAAAUCUAACAAGUUUAGAAUUCUUGGAUCUUUCAAACAAUCAAAUAAAUGGUUCCAUCCCUUCGACAUUCUCGAAAUUGAUCUCUGUGAGAACACUAUCACUUAAGUCCAAUCAGCUUAAUGGAAUGUUACCGCCAGAAUUAGGAUCUCUUGUUCUUCUCUCACAUAUGGAUCUAAGUAGAAAUCAAUUUUCAGGAAGUAUUCCACCUC
rnacentral:lncRNA from 1 species